AGGACACGCUGGCGGCGUGCUUAAUACAUGCAAGUCAACUUGACUUUAGAUAGCAAUAUCGAAAAGUAGGGUGGCGCACGGGUGCGUAACGCGUAGGUAAUCUGCCCUGAGGUCUGACAUAACCCGUCGAAAGGCGGGCUAACAUCAGAUGAUAUAUAGUCACGACAUCGUGGAAAUAUCAAAUCUUCGGAGCCUUGGGAUGAGCCUGCGUCUGAUUAGGUAGUUGGCGGAGUAAUAGCCCACCAAGCCUACGAUCAGUAGCUGGUCUGAGAGGAUGAUCAGCCACACUGGAACUGAGACACGGUCCAGACUCCUACGGGAGGCAGCAGUAAGGAAUAUUGCUCAAUGGGGGGAAACCCUGAAGCAGCAACGCCGCGUGAAGGAUGAAAUACUUUUGUAUGUAAACUUCUGUAAGAUGGGAAAAAUAUUCUCCUCGGGAGAAUUGAUUGUACCAUCAGAGUAAGCCCCGGCUAACUACGUG
rnacentral:rRNA from 1 species